UCCAGGGUGACUGUUUUUGAUCCAAAAAGCCUGCAGUACAGCUGGUUGGAGGGAGCUAGCCCCUUUUAACCCUCCCACAAAACUGGCAUUUCUCAGCAGGUCUGUGGAUCCUGCUUUCCAGCUGGAUUUCAUGGGAGAGGAGAGCAGCCAGCAUCCCCUGAUGACACCAAACCCCUUCCCAAGAUUUUUUCUUCUGCCACAGCGCUGCCAUGAGCAGGAGUUUGUUGUGAGCAUCCCAACACACCUCUCAGCCAGCUCCUUCCCUGGCAGCCCUGGAUUUGCUGAAGGUUGGAUCCACCUCUGUCUCUUGCUCUUCCUUUCCCUCUGCCCUUUCUGAGGAUGUUGCUGGCAGAAUAUG